rnacentral:rRNA from 2 species
GACGAACGCUGGCGGCGCGCUUAACACAUGCAAGUCGAGCGAUGAAAUUUUGACAGAUCCCUUCGGGGUGAAGAUAAAAUGGAUUAGCGGCGGACGGGUGAGUAACACGUGAGUAACCUGCCUUAGACAUUGGGAUAGCCUCGGGAAACCGGGAUUAAUACCGAAUAAAAUCAUAGGUGCACAUGCACUAAUGAUCAAAACUCCGGUGGUCUAAGAUGGACUCGCGUCCCAUUAGCUAGUUGGUAGGGUAACGGCCCACCAAGAUAGCGAUGGGUAGCCGAUCUAAGAGGAUGACCGGCCACAUUGGAACUGAGAAACGGUCCAAACUCCUACGGGAGGCAGCAGUGGGGAAUAUUGCACAAUGGGGGGAACCCUGAUGCAGCGACGCCGCGUGAGCGAUGAAGGCUUUCGAGUCGUAAAGCUCUGUCCUAUGGGA